UCCUUUUGGGUCAUUAUGUA
rnacentral:siRNA from 1 species